rnacentral:lncRNA from 1 species
CUCUCUCACCUUAUACGGUCUUAGAUAUUCAUUUCUUCCUGAGUUUGUUACGCCUUAUACCGGCUAACACCCUCAUUUCUUUUGGUAACUGUCCUCGUGAAGUUUUCUGUUGCUUUCCCCAGGAGUCAACAUUGUGUCUCUCCAAUGGUUUAUUUUUCGCUUUGAAUUAUUUUCCCGCAGGUGUGGCCUUCCUCUGCCACAGUGAGGUCUCCAGUGCUGAUUUCUGUUUACUCCUAACCAGAGUCGUGUCUUAUUCCCGCUAUGUCAGGUUUUGUUUUUUUUCCCCAACUUGACGUCCGUGUCCUGCUCACGGCAUUUCUUGUUCUUUAUUAGCCCACACAAGAGUCUUGUUAGAGCUCUCCGUUGCCUGGUGAGUGUAUUACUCCGAUGGUCGUCUUGUCCUCUGUGUGAACGUGCAUAUCCAACAGAAUUUGUGUCUUUGGCAUGCAUACAUUUGCAUCAUGAGGUCUCUUAGGGACCAAAAAUUGUCUGCAUUACCUGUUAUUUAAGCCCAUUCUACCCACACACACACGCCAGAUGAACAGCACUAUCUCACACUCAUCUAAAACUUCACUUCUCCGCUAGAAUAGCCCAGGCGAUAAUCGUCGAUCUUCCAAGUGCACGAACUGCUCAAGGCGUACAUUCGGUGGUCGAACCAAGACUUAGGACUUUAAAUAAUUAGCAAUUCUGUAAGACCACCAAUUUUUAUGUCCUGACCAACAAGUUAUCCUUUCCUACCUCUCAUCAGGGCCACAAUCAUCUAUAACAUACAUAUAAUGGCACGGAAGACGGGCCUUUUCUUAAGAGAUACGUUGAAUUGCACAUAGCUUCUCGCCUCAUCGUGGGUGAGGUACCUUGUGAGUGUGCAGAUCUCUUGACCUUUGUAAACCCCUAAGCAUCGUUUCUUGUCAAUUUUCUGUAUAUGUAUAAAUUUGGCAUUUUUCAUAUCUGGGUUCGUGCUACAACUAAGUACAAAAAUAUUGUCAUCUCACCAACUAACUUCAUGGAUAUUCGUUGAUCAAGAUGAGCAAAAACUAGGAAAUCGAAUCGGAGUUCCACAAAUACACAUGUGUUGUCUUAACAGCUCAUCAGUCUAGAAAUAGAGAAUUCAGCCUCAACUGUUAUCUUGUGCUCGGCAUCUGGAAUAAGAAUACUUCCCUCUGCAAGAACCAUACAAGAUAGGAUUCAUUCAAUGCUCCUCUCCAAUAGCAUUAGAUUUGAGUCAAUCAAAGAUAUUUAGUGGAAAUAAUCUUAUAGAUUCAGUAUAUCCAACUGUCGAGGUUUUAGCAGUUGGAAGUCAUCCAAGCGUCAUAGCACGCUAUAUUGAUCGAUCAGAAUACGGCCUUCAGAUCAAUCUCUACUCAACAACAGACAUCAAAACAAAGUCUCAACUCGAGAUGACUUAGUUAGGUCAAUCUCGUGUCGACAGGAUCUAAUCAGCUGAGUUUAAAAUGGUAUCGAUCUGGCGUACAGCUUAUUUAGCGUCAGGAGAGGCACUUUCUCAAUAUGUGCUAAUGGUUUUUCGUCAUAUAUGAUAAGAAGCUGUUGUCCCAUAUCACAUUUGUCCUAAACAUCUAUCACACCAGUAGUGAAAGUAUAAGUUGAGCAGAGUACAUCACACUACGUUAAAACUCUUUCCAGAAAUAAAUAAGUAAAAAGCUGAGAUCUGUAACUUAGGAAUAUAUCAUCCACUACAAAGACUAAGGAGAUGUUAACAAUAUAUCACUUGUAAUAAAUACAACACUAUUCACCUAAGGCUCUGACAAUCAUAUAGUCAAGUCUUUUGCAACAUCGCAUUCGUGUAUCGGAGCCUUUUCAUGUGAUCAAUCAAUUCAAUGGACACGCUUUGAGCACGCAUCUUGAUUCUCCCUCAAAAGUGAUAGAUCCCCCACUCACUCACCUCUGUAUUUCUGCCAGGUAAUGCAAGAGCUGAUGCACUGAUAUACAGCAAGCUUCCCCCCCCCAAGCAACACUCCAUAAAACUUCCUACGAAUUUCAUGUAGCCUCCAGGAUUAUGAUGAAUUAAACUACUAUGUAUUCUAGGUGGAACAUAUCAAUCACCACAAAUUUGUAUUUGAACUUCUCUAAAGUUCGCUUCCAAUAUAUCCUAUUCAGUCAUACCUUGCAAACGCAUCUAUAAGAUGUGUACCUUAAUUGAGUGAUGGUAAUAUUAUUGACUAAAACAUAAUACAUAGUGCUCUUAUCCAUCAACUCUUCUGCCUUUGGCAACCAACUCCUACACACUUCACAGUUUCAUGAAAACCAUACCAUGCCCAGAUAUAAUUCAACUGCGUCAGGAUUAUUGUUAUAGUUGAUUAUGAUCUGUUAACUUAAAUGGAGCGAAAGAGUAAAUAGAGAGUUAGCACUUAACCACACACAUCACUACACACAUGGUACACAUCAUUUACACCACAUGGUCCAAGAAAUGACCUUUGGAGGUUUGCUACUAAGGCCCCCUUUUGCAGCUGUAGCCAUGCCCAUCAAACCCACUGAACAGUGGAAGUUGAAAUAUCAAUCAUAAAUAACACAAAUCAAACACUCAUUUUAUAGCCUAAAUGCAAAAUAGCUAUCAUCACCAUCUAACACAGAGCGUAGACACAUCAUUCAAACAACGUAACUAUUAUUAUGAACUUUUUCUAGCUCGGCACAUGCGACUGUCCCGUACUACAGCCACUAUCUUCACAAACAACAUGAUUGCCAAAAUUCUCCAUUUUCUAUGACCCUAUCAACCCUACUCUUCCUUCAUACCUGAGACUUUUUCUAAAAACUCUUCAAGAGGUGCUCGGUGUUUUUGAGUUUGGUAUUCAUCACACGCCAUCAAACCUUGGAUUAGCAGUUUGCAACCUCCAUUUCAUCACUAGUAGAGCUCAAAUAAGCCACAACUCGUUCCAUUGAGCAUUUCCAAUGGCAUUGUGAUUAGAGGAAAAUGGAGCUUUGUUGGGCCCUAGAACCCGCCAACUCCCCAAUUGUUCUAAUCACAUUCCUUCAUAGCUUCUGGGACAUCCUCAAUGUUGAGACUUACUUGUUUAAUCGUACUUAGUGAAUGAGAACACACAGCACGCCAGUAGCAAAAAAUACGUAACAAAAUUAAUGCAUUAGGUAUGAGAGACUUAACCUUCCGUAUCACAUGCGUACCACUUCUUAUGUGUAUGCUUUAGCAUCUUUAUAUAGAACCUUUGGCUCAUUCGCCUCUUGUGGCUUACAUAAGGCGAGAUUGGGCCACUUCUCUGAGUGGUAUUGGUUGCUAUGUAAUAACAAGAGUAUUACAUGUCUUCCCUUAUCUUCAUGUAGUUGGCAGACCCCUCAUAUGGCACGUUGUUACUUGGACCAGGCAGAACUGUCUGAAAGUCCUCCUUAAGAGGCAAUGCUUGUGUGGUUUACAUUGUCGCAAGCAGGAAAGUCCCUUUGAAAUAAGGCAAUUGGUAGAACCCAAGAGAUAUGCAACCUAUCUCCUACAUUCUGUGUGUCACUCACCUUGCUCACACCACAUGUGUUGAUGCAUAGUGAGUAAACCAAUCUAUCGAGUCAAUAAUCUGUGGAGAGAGUUCCUACUUUCUGAACUCCACACUUUUGAUAUUCAAUGCUCUCCCUGACAAGAAUAAGAGCAAUGAGGCACACCCCUCAUAUCCUCAUCUGCUAUCUUAGCUCAAUGAAUUCACACUACCACCCUGGAAUUAACACAUAUUAACCAAGUUGCUUCAAUGCCUAACCCUUUUGUAUGAGCCUGAUUGUUUGGUUAUAGUAUGUGCUGAAUGACUUCAAUUGAUUGAUUGCUCACUUCAUAUACACAUGUUUGCUUGUCUGCUUUGUGCAUUUAUCAUCAUUAAUGCUCAUUAGUGCAGAUCAUCUCAUGUCUUGUGGACAUAUCCUUGUUGAUUGCCCAUUGAGGACAAUUGUAAGACCAUCCUUUGGCCAUUGUUCCUAUGAUAUGAGAAGUGAUAAUAGACCAUCUCAUUGGGCACAUCAUCUUGCCUUCUUUGCUUGAUUUGCAUUUGCAUUUGUUGUAUGUGAGGAUGCAAUUGUAAGUCCCUGCAAGUUGGCAUUUGCUUUCCUAUGAUCAUAUGUUGGAUAUUGGUAUAAGCCAGACAGAUUGGCAUCCGGUAUCCAAGUUUCGUUUUGAUUUAGGAGAUUGGAAUAGUCCAUCUAUUGGCCUCCGACAUCCUGUUUCUUUGUUUAGGAGAUUGGUGUAAAUCCAUCUAUUGGUAUCCGGUAUCCGCUUUUGUUGUGAGAUUGGAGUAAGACCAUUGAGUGGCAUCCGGUAUCACUUGUUUGCUAUUUGUUGUUUGCUCAUUGCCUAUUCCAAGGACACACCUUGAGUCUCUUCAAUAUGAUUUCAAGAGGUGAACAUUCUAGGAAGUUUUACAAUCAUUUUCAUCCAUUCAUCCCCAUUAUGUCCUAAACCUUUCUCACACAUUACUUUCAAACUUGAGAUAGAUAUGUGCAACAUCUUCAUGUUUUCAUCAAAAACCUGGACCCAAGUCCUUGACUUUUCAACUCCCUUUCAUAAUACUUCUUUGAAUCAAUCUUAAUCAUACUUUGACCCUGCUUUCAUGAACACUCAUACUCAAUUAACUUCACCCAUUCAAUUGUUUUGGCUUUGUCCAUUCCUGCUAAGUUUUCAUGCAUUAGCCAUAGGUUUCAAUUAUCAUUGUGGUUGAUGUAAACCUCACCCUAUCCUUAGUGAGUCGACUAUAAGACUUCCGUACUGAAAACAGGUUAACCCCUCUAGUACUCGAAGCUAUCCUCGCAUGGUGAUGUUGGUCUUGGUCGAGUUUUCUCCCAUUGAUAAUGAAGCCUCAAGUGCUAUUGUUUAAAAAUUGAACUCACAACCUUUGGAAAUCUUUUAGCCGAACUACGGUGUUUUGAUCCUUACACUUUAUGGAAGGUUACGGUGCAACGGUUCAUCCGUUCAACACAAAAAAUAAAAUUGUAUAUUCUUUCUCAUCAUCCCAUUCAUGUUUGCACAAUAAAUAUUUCAUAAAAAUACAUUUUAUACAACAAGUGUGAAAAGGUCUCCCUAGGAGUACCUAGCGUAGUUUGGUGCCCAACCUUCCCAUGCGUAAUUUACCCUUACCCAGCACCUCUGAUCUUUUUAUUAGUUUCUACGCGUAAAAGGAACUUCUUAGGCUUUUGUUCGCUUUUUAGCCAGUCCUUUGGAUAAAUAAAAGUGCGGUGGCGACUUGAAUUCAUUGUAUGCUUUGCUUAUGGUUUAAUCAAUAAAUCAUAUAGCGACGAAUACACCGCUACACAUAUUCUUCCAUAUUGUUGGUGCAGUCAAAGCAUAAUCUGGCGAAGAACGGAAUAUGAAAACCAGUCAGAGAGGUAAUAAAUACUCAUGUUCCAUGGUCUUUAGCAUUAGAGGCACGUCGAACACGAGCGUCUAUUAGGAUCCUGGUUCGGGUCCUUCGUCAGGGCCAGGAAUAUUGCAGUCUCUGAUGAACAUGAUGUCCUCAUUGGGAAAGUCAAACUUUAUAGGCUGGUAACCUUGCACAGGUUGAUGGGAAAGGUAGUCAGACAAAACACUUCCCUCGAUGGCUUUCUGAGUCAUAUACUGGAUGUCAUACUCGGUUAACAACAUUUUCCAUCUAGCAAUUCUUCCUCUGACAGUGGGCUUCUUAGAAAUUUACUUUAUUGGGUCCAUUUUGGAUAUUAACAAAGUUGUAUGGAAAAUCAUAUAAUGUGUCAGGCGUCGAGCUACCCAAGCUAAAGCACAACAAGUCUUCUCCAAUAGUGAAUAUCUGGUCUCAUAUUAAGUAAACUUCUUGCUCAAGUAAUAGGUUGCAUGUCCUUUAUGGCCCGUGUCGUCAUGUUGACCCAAAACAUAACCCAUUGAUUCAUCUAGCACGGUGAGAUACAUGAUUAAAUGCCUACCAGGAAUCGGUGGUUUCAGGAUCAGUGGCUCUUGCAAAUACUUUUUAAUUUUGUCAAACGCCUCUUAACAAUCAUCAUUCCACACGAUCGCUUGAUUUUUUCUUAACAAUUUGAAUAUUGGUUCACAUGUAGCCGUCAAAUGCAAGAUGAAUCAAGAUAUGUAAUUAAGUCGUCCAAGUAAACCUCUGACCUCUUUUUUUGUUCUGGGAGCUGGCAUAUCUUGAAUAGCCUUGACUUUGUCUGGAUCAACCUCUAUACCUUUCUGACUCACAAUGAACCCCAACAGAUUACCGGAACGGACCCCAAAAGUGAACUUAGUAGGAUUCAACCUCAACUGGAAUUUAUGGAGUCUGGCAAAAAGCUUUCUCAAAUGGUCCAAGUGACCAUCUUCAGUUUUGGACUUAGCAAACAUAUCAUCCACAUACACUUCAAUGUCCUUAUAGAUCAUGUCAUGAAAAAGAGUCAUCACAGCACAUUGAUAUGUUGCACCUGCAUUUUUCAAAUCAAAAGGCAUGAAUUUAUAGUAGUAAGUUCCCCAGGGUAUGAUGAAAGUUGUUUUCUCCAUAUCAGCUGGAGCCAUCUUGAUCUGAUUAUACCCUGAGAAAUCGUCCAUGAAAGAAAAGACUAGGUGCCGAGCUAUGUUAUCUACUAAAACAUCAAUAUACGAAAAGGAAAAUCAUCCUUUGGAUUUGCUUUGCUAAGAUCAUGAUAGUCCACACACAUUUGAACCUUCCCAUCCUUCUUCGGAACCAGAACAAUAUUGGCAACCUAAUGAGGAUACUCGACAAUAGCUAGGAAACCAACAUCCAACUGCUUCUUAACCUCUUCUUUGAUUUUCACGGCUAUGUCGGGUCUGGUUCUGCGAAGCUUCUACUUAACCGGAGGACAUUCGGGAUUGAGCGGUAGGAAAUGUUCAACAAUGUUGGUAUCCAACCCAUGCAUAUCUUGAUAGGACCAGGCAAAGAUAUCAACAUACUCAUGAAGUAACUCUACCAACUCAUGGUGUACAUGCUCGGUAAGGGAUGCCCCAAUCUUGACCUCUCUUUUGACUUCUUCGCUGCCCAGAUUGAUUACUUCCAACUGUUCUUUGUGCAGCUGAAUCUAUUUUUCUUCCUGCUCAAGAAGUAUGCCUAGCUCAUGUGGCACUUCACAAUCUUUCUCACAGUCAUCUUCAACUAGGUUAAUUGGAAACCCAUAUUUACAACGAAUUUCAACAAUGUUGCAUUCAGUGAAAUUAUUUGCUCUGCAUGUUAUGAGUCUUUUUUAGAAUGCAUUUUGGAAAAAGAUGUGAAAAAUAAAUGACACUUUUGCCAUUGUUUUUAGUGAAAAGUAAAAAUAACAUAAAGAAAAGGAGCAUGAUUUUGAGUGCAAACAUCACCUUUCAUUGAUUGAAUAAUACUUUUAAAACAGGGGAGGCCCUUACAAACUAUCCACAUGCCUCGGGCGAAGGCAAGGGACAAGGAAAAAGCAAAAUGCGUUACAUUUCUUUAUAGAAAAUCACAUGAACCAAAGUAGAAGUCCAAUUAUCGACCUUAAAUCCUAGAGGAUGAUUGCGAAUAAGACUGGAGAUUACACGUUGGCCGGAGAUUGCUCAAUCUACUACUGCCACAAAAGAAUCAAAUUGGUAGCCAACACUGCUAAAUCUGAUAUGAUCAAACUUAUUACCUCCCCUCGCUGCUGGGUGACGGGAAGUAGGAUGAUAACCGAGUCCAAAGAGACCAUGCUUCUCAGAGACUCUCACAAUUUGUCCCCAACCAGGGAGAGGACCAUUCUCCAGAGUUUUCUUGGCACUCUUGGCUGAUGGCAACACCAAAGUUGUUGAUUGGAUUUGAUUGGCAGAUGCAGACUUGACUUCUUCAAAAUCUAAACCUUGGAAAGGAACCUCAGCUACUCCCUCCUUACUUUCCACAUAUCUGAAAGAAGACAGUUCACUUCUUAUAGAAUCCUCUUCACCACAAACAAUGAACAACUUAUCCUCAAACAAUAACUUUAGUUUCUGAUGAAGAGUAGAAGUGACAACACCAGAUGCAUGGAUCCAUGGCCUCCAUAAUAGGAAACUAUAGGCAAGGUGGAUAUCCAUGACUUUGAAAGUGAUGAUAAACUGGUAGGGACCCAUACAAAUUGGUAAAUCAACUUCCCUAAUGACCUCCCUAUGAGAUCCAUCAAAAGUACGGAUAAUAAAAAAGCUUGCUCUCAUCUCCGGUCCCUCAUAAUAUAGUUGUCUUAAUGUGAUUUUAGGUAAAACAUUAAGUGAAGAGCCAAUGUCAACUAGGACCCUUGAGAUUAAAGUGUUUGCACAAGUCACAUAAAUGUGCAGAGCUUUGUUAUGAUUAUGACCUUCAGCUAUCAACUCAGCUUCGUUGGAAACCAAGUACCUGAUUGCAGAAAUAUAUACUAUCACAUCAUCAAACUAUUAUGCAGAAAUAUCAUGCAUCACAUGAGUCGUAUUGAGCAGUUUUAAGAGAGCUUUCCGAUGAGCUUUAGAAUUGAGCAAUAACGACAAGAUUGAUAUCUUUGAUGGAGUAUGACCCAGCUGGUCGAUGAUCUUGAAGUCACUUUAUUUGAUCAAUUUUAAUAACUUUUUCCCUUCUUCUGUAGAAAUAAUCUUCUCAACCUGCUCUUUCCCACUGAUUGCUUCCUUCCCUUUCAAAACUACUGCUUCUGCUGACUUACCAAGAGAUUCAGGCGCCCCAUCCAGAGUAGUAGGAACACGAACAGAUGCCCCUGCCUGAGGCAUAGGAACUAUUGUGGGAACCACUGUUGGAGUAUAUUUUGGUGCAAACAUGUAACCACUACGGGUCAUCCCUCUUGGACCGACUAUAUUGACAAUCUCUACUUCAGGAAACUGGAUUUCUGCACCGCCUACUGACACAUUUAUAUUGUACUUCCAUGGCACGACUUUGGAAUUCUGAUACGAAAAAGGUGAAGGAACAUGAAAUAUAAUAGGUUGAGUUUUCUUUAUCGGAGCUUCAACUUGUUUCUUACGAUAAACAAUCUCAAUCGGCUCGAUAAUUGAAAUUUUCCUCAUGGUUCUGUUUCUUGAUAACUGCAAGACACCUUGAUCCACCAACUCUUGGAUGCAAUCCUUAAGUUCUUCAUAUCUUUCAGGCUCAUUCUUGCACACCUUACAAUUAUCAUGCACACCUGCCAGUGCACCACUCUUCUGCACACUCAAAGAAAUACUCGACCAUUGAGUCUUCACAUCUUCAACCAAACGGACAAACUCGGUUCCAUCAUCCUCAAUAAUUGCAUUCACUAUCUGAUUACCAUGAUUCAGCAAAGGAUUCGCCUUCACAUUUGUCUUUUUUUAGUGAAAGACAAUAUUCUGAUCAAUGAGGUCGUGUACUCUGUUCUUGAACACAUAGUAAUCUUCAAUUGUAUUCCCGAUAUAACCUACAUGGAAUAUGCAAGAUACAUUGGGGUUAUGGUGUGGACCAAAUGGAUACAUUGCUGGUGGGAUCUCCUUAGGAACAACUAUCCCUACAUGCAGAAGAUAAAGAAAUAAUUUGGAGUAUGGUACUAGGAUCUUGGUAUACUUAGGGCGUCUCUGGUUGAGAUUCUGAUUAUGGUUAUGAUUCUUCUCCUAAUUACCUCAACAGUUAUGAUUUGGGCCUCUGUUGUCGGUAUUUUGCCUCUGAGGAGCUUGUCCUAGAGGUUGUUGUUAUUGUUAAGCCUGAGGAGGUUGUUGAUACUGUGGUUGGUACUGGAAUGGUUGUUAAAAUUGGGUUGCAAUCAUAUAUGGAUACAAAUAGUAUGGUGGAGGAACCAUAGGAACUUCGUACUGUGGAUCACUUGCCGUUACUGCACUCGUCUCCUCUGCUUUUUUCUUGACAUACCCACUAGAAGGUCAUCUUACUGCAGAUUAUUGACUACUACCACUAGCGAUCUUCCAUGUCUUCAAACCACUUUCAAUGCUCUCCCCAGUUAUAACUAGACUAGCAAAGUUGGAAGAUGAACUCCCAACCAUCUCUUCAUAGUAUAAGCUUUGGAGCAUCCCCAUGAAAAUGGCCAUUAGCUCAGUGUUUGCCAAGGUUGGCCUGACCCUUGAAUCUAUUUCACGCCAUCUCUGUGCAUAUUCGUUGAAAGUUUCGUUAGACCGUCGAGCUUGAUUCUAAAGUUGUAAUAUGGUAGGAGCCAUGUCUAUGUUGUACUUGUAUUGGUUCAAAAAGGAAUUAGACAAAUCCUUCCAGGACCUUAUCUUCCUCGACUCUAGAUUCAUAUACCAAUCCAGAGAUGCCCCAGACACCCUGUCUUAGAAACAGUGGACUAGCAACUCGUCAUUAUCAAUGUAAGAGGCCAUCUUUCUGCAGUACAUAGUAAUAUAACUGCAAGGACAACUUAAGCCCUUGUACUUAGGCAGAUCAGGUACUUUGAACUUUUGAGGAAGUACAACAUUGGGUACCAAACACAGUUCUCUUGCAUUCAAACCAAGAGCGGAGAAACCUUCAAUGGCAUGAGUUUGCUCUUCUAGGAGUUGAUACUCAACAGGCCUAGGUUGAUUAAUCCCAGGUACCCUUUGAGUAGCAACUAUGGGAGGAGGUUGAAUAAUAUUCUGAGCAUGCAUUUGUGGCAUAAAUUAAGGAAACAUCGGAUACAUCAUAGCCAAAUUCAAAGUCUAGGCAACUGGAGUGUUGUCUUGAGUAAUCUACCCCCAGGUUUCAUAUUUGGAGCAAGAGGUGCCCCGGAAUGGGACUACUAGAGUGCAAUGUUGUUCGGAAAUGGUGGGACUAUAUCAGUAGAAACAUAAGGAUUUGGCUGAACACGUGGAGUAGUGAUAUGGAAAUUGAGAGAAUGACCCAUAUAUUCAGGUCCCUGAUCAUAAUUAUUGUCAAUGUUUGCAGCAUUAUCUCUUAUGUUUCAACCCCUUGAGCAGAGUAAGGAUUAGGCAUCCCCCACGAGAAUGCAACAACAUUCACAUUGACAGGAGCAGCAACAAAGGACUGGUAUGACAUGAACGGGUUUCUAGUAGAAAACUAAGGGUUAUAGGUGUGAGGCAUUCCCCAUGGGUAGGCAGCAGUAAACCUACUGGGACCAUGAUGAGACAAAGGUUGGCUAACAACAGCAGGUUGAACAACAGGAUCAGUAGGAUCCAUCACAACCAGAGUUGUGUCAGUAGUAGAAGUCAUUAUGGUAGCAUCAGACUGAUUGAUAACAACAAUGUUAUCCCUCUGAUUUUGUAGAUGUUCUAGGAUGGUACCUGUCAUACCCCAAUUUUGACCCUGAAUCGCCGAUUCAAUACAUUCAUCAUAGCUAUUGCAUGUCUACAUAGCAUACCAUGCAUUCCAUACCGCAUAAUGCCUAAAAUAUCAGUCGAAAUAACUUUUUCCGAUCUACAGGCAAACCGGUUGAAUUAAUCAACGAAUGUGCGUCAAACCAGUGAACGAAAUUUUUUAAAAUCAAGCUUCUAGACAUCAAUUUUAUUAAUCUACGUUUCGUGUAGUUUAAUCCGGUAUGCUCGAUUUAUUUUUCAGCUAAUUUUUCGGCCACCUUUUUGAUCAGCUCAAGCCUGUUUAACCGAUUAAAAUUUAUUUCAAAAUUAAAAAGAAACGCUGUAUUUUUCCAAUAAGUUUAUUUUGCACUGAUCAUUUUGGUGCAUUCAUUUUAUUUUUCGGGCACUUUUGCGUCCAACUUUUUUAUUUUUGAGUCCCGUUAUUUUUAUUCUUUUGCCAAAAAAUCAAAAAAUUAAAAGGUAUAAUAAUGUUCUCAUUUUAAUUUCAUCAUGUUUAUAUAAAAAAUGUGAAAUUUAUUUAAUUUAAUUAAGUUAAAUUAAUUAAAGCUUCUAGAAAGGAUAUUCUAGGCAUUUUUAAUUGGUUAACAAUGUUGUGUUUCUUUGGUCCAAUCGUAGCCUUUAAUUCAAAUUAAUCAGUGAUCCCAAUUGGAAAACACAUGGAUCCCUAUCCUCAAUUAUCCUUCUCAACCAAUGACCCUUUGACAACAAAUUAAUCAGUGAUCCCAAUUGGAAAACACAUGGAUCCCUAUCCUCAAUUAUCCUUCUCAACCAAUGACCCUUUGACACAUCACCAAAAACAAAAGCUAAAGAAGCACACAUGAUAGAAUACCCUCUUGGACCUAAACGCCUCUCUCAACGUCUCUUUUUACCCUCUCUCCUCUCUCUCACUUCUCUAAACAAGAUAAAAACAAAAAUCUCUUCUUCUGCCUGGACGCCACCUCACCCACACAAUAUACUCUUUGAUCUCUCUCCUCACUCAUUGACAAUCCUCUCUCCUCACUCUCCAGCUUCCUCUUCCACACACCAACCACAAACCUACAAUCCCUUCUCUUCUCACCGUAUCCGUCGCCACUUCCUCACAUCCUCAUCUUCCUCACUCCAACCCUAAAUCCUCCGCCACAGCCGUUCACCACCGCAUAUACCUCUCAACAUUAUCCUCCGUCCAAAAACCAUGCCGUCACCACCAUAAACCCUUCUUCACUCUACCACUAUCGCCAGAGACACAACUUCCACUUCCUCUAUUUCUGCCGAUCCAUUUCAAAGCAUCCAAACAACCAUUCUGCUUUCAGCGAUUAUUGUGAAAUCAGUUCCGAUGAUUGUUACUUCACUCCGGCAAUGACCCGUUCCGGCAACGAAACACUAUUACAACUCAACAAACUCCGUUGUCUAAAGCACUACACAUCCUCGAUCUACAUCGUCGUGUAACUGUGCUCAUCAUUCCAACAACAACAUCCGGAGAAACUAAAACCUCUGCCAUAGCCACUGCGGUGACGCAACCCUACGAAUCACCCUACAACCUCAUCUUUCAACCUCACCAUUAAUGACACCAAAUUAUAACCAAUAAAUGACACAGUAAAAAUCCUCCUGUUGUAUUAUGUGGACCGUAACAACAAACUUGCUUACACCAAGGGACUCUCGAUCUGCUUCUGUUAGAUGUUGAUUUCUUUUACAGGUUGUAUUUGGUUAAGUCUUGGAAAGAUUGAGCAUUGAGAAUGAUAUCGAGAAGUUUAGGGAUUCACCCUGGAAAUGACGACAGCGGCGAUUCAAUGGUGUGGCAAAGCUUUGCUCUACUUUCAAUUCCGUUAGAGCGUAUUACCUCCAUUUGAACCAUCACCAACUUUGGUUUGCCUCUUAAUCUGUAUUAUUUGUUGGUAAGCCUUGCUUGACAUUGGAUUUUUCUUUUAUGUUUGUUUAAAUUUCAACUGGUGUUGUUUAGUUUGGUGUUUGAGUUAUGGCUUAUGGAUAAAUCAUGUGGUGUUGUGUGUUCUUGCUGUUAUCGUAAAAAGUAUGAAUGCUAUUUUGAAAAUGGAUUGAUAGAUCUAUGAUGAUGUUGGAGUGUAUGAUUUUCCUGUUAGUCAAGUUAUUAGUUAACACACCAAUUUUUGCUGCUAGUUUGUUUCCAUGUGGAUGUGACAAAUAGUAAUAAUGGUUUUGAGUUUGCAAUAGAAUCAAGUCGUUUGCUUCAUAGUGAUCUAAUUUGCCGAGUCGGUGGAUGAAUUCACUCGAUGUUCAUGGAUUGAAUAUAAGUUUAUCAUUGACUUUUUGUUGUUAUUUUUGGGUAUAUUUUGGCCUAAUGAUUGGUGUUAGUAAGUGAGUUUUAUUUAGGAAAAUAUAUUUAUUAGUGAUCGAUGAUAAAAAAGAUGAAUAUGGUUUGAUUAUUAUUUAAUUCAUAUUGGAUUUGAGUGCUCACUAGUCAUGGUUGUUGUGGAUUGUAAUAUGUAAAGAAGAAUUAUGUAAAUGCCAAUUACUUUGACCAAUUUCAAAGGUAACUUUGCACAAAGUUGUAACAAAGAAAUAACAUUUUUUCUGAAAAUCUAUCACAAUUAAAUCAAGUUGUAACAAAAAAAUUAUGUUUUAAACUCUUUAACAAUUAAAUAAAUUUUAUUGGAAUAACUUGAAGCAUU